rnacentral:lncRNA from 1 species
CCAAUCCAACCCAGUCCAUCACCUGGAGGCUGGAGAACCACGAGGCUGUUGCCUGUUCGUCCCCCUCUUCUGAGAGGUCCAGGUCACCUGCUCUGGGAGAAGCCAGUUGCCAUGUUGUGAGGACACUCAAGCAGCCCAUGGAAUGACUCACAUGCUGAAGAACUGAGCCCUCCCUGCUUCCAACAGCCAGGGAGGAACUAGGGCUUCUUGCCAAUAACCAUGUGAAGAAGCUUGGAAAUGGAUUCUCCCCCAAAUGAGUCUUCAGAUUACUGUAGACUAACAUCUUGACUGCAACCUCUAGAAAGACCCUGAGCCAGGAUCACCAAGCUCACAGAAGCUAAGAGUUAAUAAAUGUUUGAAUUAA